AGUGAACGCUGGCGGUAGGCCUAACACAUGCAAGUCGAACGGCAGCACAGUAAGAGCUUGCUCUUACGGGUGGCGAGUGGCGGACGGGUUAGGAAUACAUCGGAAUCUACUUUUUCGUUGGGGAUAACGUAGGGAAACUUACGCUAAUACCGCAUACGACCUACGGGUGAAAGCCGGGGAUCUUCGGACCUUGCGCGAUUGAAUGAGCCGAUGUCGGAUUAGCUAGUUGGCGGGGUAAAGGCCCACCAAGGCGACGAUCCGUAGCUGGUCUGAGAGGAUGAUCAGCCACACUGGAACUGAGACACGGUCCAGACUCCUACGGGAGGCAGCAGUGGGGAAUAUUGGACAAUGGGCGCAAGCCUGAUCCAGCCAUACCGCGUGGGUGAAGAAGGCCUUCGGGUUGUAAAGCCCUUUUGUUGGGAAAGAAAAGCAGCAGGUUAAUACCCCGCUGUUCUGACGGUACCGAAAGAAUAAGCACCGGCUAACUUCGUG
rnacentral:rRNA from 1 species